UACACGACCGUACCGCAAACCGACACUGGUGCGCGAGAUGAGUAUUCUAAGGCGCUUGAGAGAACUCAGGAGAAGGAACUCGGCAAAUUGACACCGUAACUUCGGAAGAAGGUGUGCCUUUAGUAGGUGAACCUGUACAAGGGGAGCCCAAUGAGGUUGCAAAAAAUCGGUGGCUGCGACUGUUUAAUAAAAACACAGCACUCUGCAAACACGAAAGUGGACGUAUAGGGUGUGACGCCUGCCCGGUGCUGGAAGAUUAAAUGAUGGGGUGCAAGCUCUUGAUUGAAGUCCCAGUAAACGGCGGCCGUAACAAUAACGGUCCUAAGGUAGCGAAAUUCCUUGUCGGGUAAGUUCCGACCUGCACGAAUGGCGUAACGAUGGCCACACUGUCUCCUCCUGAGACUCAGCGAAGUUGAAAUGUUUGUGAUGAUGCAAUCUCCCCGCGGAAAGACGGAAAGACCCCAUGAACCUUUACUGUAGCUUUGUAUUGGACUUUGAACAGAUCUGUGUAGGAUAGGUGGGAGGCUUUGAAGUGUGGUCGCUAGAUCGCAUGGAGCCAACGUUGAAAUACCACCCUGGUGUGUUUGAGGUUCUAACCUAGGCCCGUAAUCCGGGUCGGGGACAGUGCAUGGUAGGCAGUUUGACUGGGGCGGUCUCCUCCCAAAGCGUAACGGAGGAGUUCGAAGGUACGCUAGGUACGGUCGGACAUCGUGCUAAUAGUGCAAUGGCAUAAGCGUGCUUAACUGCGAGACUGACAAGUCGAGCAGAUGCGAAAGCAGGACAUAGUGAUCCGGUGGUUCUGUAUGGAAGGGCCAUCGCUCAACGGAUAAAAGGUACUCUGGGGAUAACAGGCUGAUACCGCCCGAGAGUUCAUAUCGACGGCGGUGUUCGGCACCUCGAUGUCGGCUCAUCUCAUCCUGGGGCUGUAGCCGGUCCCAAGGGUAUGGCUGUUCGCCAUUUAAAGAGGUACGUGAGCUGGGUUUAAAACGUCGUGAGACAGUUUGGUCCCUAUCUUCCGUGGGCGCUGCAGAUUUGAGGAAGCCUGCUCCUAGUACGAGAGGACCGGAGUGGACACACCUCUGGUGUAUCGGUUGUCACGCCAGUGGCAUUGCCGAGUAGCUAUGUGUGGAAGAGAUAACCGCUGAAAGCAUCUAAGCGGGAAACUCGUUUCAAGAUGAGAUCUGCCGGGGCCUUGAGCCCCCUAAAGAGUCGUUCAAGACCAGGACGUUGAUAGGUCGGGUGUGGAAGCGCAGUAAUGCGUUAAGCUAACCGAUACUAAUUACUCGUGCGGCUUGACCCC
rnacentral:rRNA from 1 species